rnacentral:rRNA from 1 species
CGUUUACCGUGAAAAAAUUAGAGUGUUCAAAGCAGGCAGAUCCAAUUUUCUGCCACCGAAUACAUUAGCAUGGGAUAAUGGAAUAGGACCCUGUCCUCCUAUUUUCAGUUGGUUUUGGCAGCGCGAGGACUAGGGUAAUGAUUAAUAGGGAUAGUUGGGGGCAUUAAUAUUUAAUUGUCAGAGGUGAAAUUCUUGGAUUUAUGAAAGAUUAACUUCUGCGAAAGCAUCUGCCAAGGAUGUUUUCAUUAAUCAAGAACGAAAGUUAGGGGAUCGAAGACGAUCAGAUACCGUCGUAGUCUUAACCAUAAACGAUGCCGACCAGCGAUUAGGAGACGUUGAAUACAAAACACCACCAUCGGUGCGGUCAUCCUUGGCGUUGGUCUUCAAAAGCCAGCGCGGGGGUGGCUUAGCCCGGUGGCACCGGUGAAUGACUCCCUAG